UCCAUGUGGGGCAAGCGUUGUUCGGAAUUACUGGGCAUAAAGGGUGCGUAGGCGGCUUGUUAAGUCGGGGGUGAAAGUUUUCGGCCCAACCGGAAAAUUGCCUUUGAUACUGGCGAGCUUGAGUGCGUGAGGGGUAACCGGAACGAGUGGUGUAGCGGUGAAAUGCGUAGAUAUCGGGAGGAACACCAGUAGCGAAGGCGGCUCGCUGGGCCAUUCCUGACGCUGAGACGCGAAAGCUAGGGGAGCGAACAGG
rnacentral:rRNA from 1 species